AAAACUACUGAGAAGGAAAAGGUUUGAUCUGGAGGUCAAAGCAGGGACAGUCCAGGUCCAGGUCCAACCAGAGGACACCACAACCAGCAUCUCCAUUGAAUCGGCUCCUCUGAUGGCCAAUCAAUUAGUCUGAUCAGGUUAUUGAUCUGAUUACUGAUCCAGAGAGGAAGUGGAUCUGGUUCUGAUCUGCAGUUUCUGAAUCAUGAUGUUUCCACUGAGCCUGUUGUUAAUGAUGUGAUAAUAUUACUAUUAGAGUUCAGGAACCAGGAAAA